GGUAGAUACCCUGGUAUAGAAAAUAUAAUAGUUAAAUUAGUAUAUAAGAAAAUUAAAGGUUUUGGUGGCUAAAAAUUAUUAGAGGAGCUUGUUAAUUAGAAAUUAUUCUUUAUAUUUUAUUUAAUAAAUGUUUAUUCAUCUCCGUUAUAAAAUGGAAGUUAAAAAAAAAUUAUUUUGAAAUUUCAGGUCAAGAUGUAGCUAAGUUUAAAAUGAAAUUAGCUACAUUUAUAAAAUAUUUGGAUUUUAUAAAGAAUUUAAUAUUGAAAUUGAAUUUAAUUGUAAUUAGAAUUAGAGGGUUCUGAUGAAUUUAUUAAUAGUAUAUAUAUGCCUCGUCGAGUCCCUAAAAAGGAAUAAGUCGUAACAUAU
rnacentral:rRNA from 1 species